ACCUGGUCCCUCAGGCACAACACUGACUCCAGAUCAGAAGAUGAGUGAUUUGGAGGAAGAGGAGGACGGAGCAGAGUCUGGAGGAUCCGGCUGUCUGUCUAUGAAGACCCGAUCCAGAGAUCCUUCUCCAGACCUCAUUGAUGAACCUGGACCCUCAGACCUAAAAGAGAGGAAGAGGUGUG